CAGAGUUUCUGGCGCUUGGAGACUCUAACAAUGACGGCGUCUUCGAAUGCCUGACCGCUAAGCGAACAGAACUCAACACUGACAAAAAACGAAGCUACCUUCAUACUUACCUUCAAGGGACAGCACGGUACCAAGGCGAAAGUUGUGCCCUUCCACAUAGUUGCUGGACCAACGCCGGACACCUUCAUUUACACCCCAGAAGAUGAUCCAAGCUACAGCGAAACAACCAAAGUCGCAUACACUAACUUCGAGAACUGUGCCGUAGCUCAAGGCAAAUACUACGAACAACGUUGCAUACUCUACAUCUCCAAGGAUGUUGCUAAUGAUGUGCCACCGCAAUGUAGGAAGAACUUCCAAGAAAUCUGCGGUCUCGCCUCUUCAUCUAACUGGAGUGAUGUAUGUGGUGAAGACGCGUAGACCACGCGG